rnacentral:rRNA from 1 species
GGAAUAUUGCACAAUGGGGGAAACCCUGAUGCAGCGACGCCGCGUGAGUGAAGAAGCAUUUCGGUGCGUAAAGCUCUAUCAGCAGGGAAGAAAAUGACGGUACCUGACUAAGAAGCCCCGGCUAACUACGUGCCAGCAGACGCGGUAAUACGUAGGGGGCAAGCGUUAUCCGGAUUUACUGGGUGUAAAGGGAGCGCAGACGGUAUGGCAAGUCUGAAGUGAAAUGUCGGGGCUCAACCCCGAAACUGCUUUGGAAACUGUCAGACUCGAGUGUCGGAGGGGUAAGCGGAAUUCCUAGUGUAGCGGUGAAAUGCGUAGAUAUUAGGAGGAACACCGGCGGCGAAGGCGGCUUACUGGACGAUAACUGACGUUGAGGCUCGAAAGCGUGGGGAGCAAACA